CAGCCCUAAACGAUGCGCGUUAGGUGUAUCGGUGACCACGAGUCACCGAGGUGCCGAAGGGAAACCGUGAAACGUGCCGCCUGGGAAGUACGGUCGCAAGGCUGAAACUUAAAGGAAUUGGCGGGGGAGCACCACAACAGGUGGAGCCUGCGGUUUAAUUGGACUCAACGCCGGGAAGCUCACCGGAUAGGACAGCAGAAUGAUUGCCGGGCUGAAGACCCUGCAUGACUAGCUGAGAGGAGGUGCAUGGCGUCAGUGACU
rnacentral:rRNA from 1 species